rnacentral:tRNA from 1 species
GCUCCCGUAGCUCAACUGGAUAGAGCGGGCGCGUCCUAAGCGCUAGGUUGGAGGUUCGAGUCCUCUCGGGAGCG